UAGUUCAGUCGGUUAGAAUACCUGCCUGUCACGCAGGGGGUCGCGGGUUCGAGUCC
rnacentral:tRNA from 5 species